AUGGCGGCCGAGGGGGGCGGAGGAGGAGGCGGCGGCGGAGCCGGGGAGGGGUUCGAGGAGCGGGUGAAGCGCCUCUUCGGGUCGCGUCUCUUCGGCGACGUACCGAGCUCCUCCUUCCCCGCAGCUUCCUGGUCCGUCGCCGCCGGAGAUGUUGAGCGCCAGCUCUGGGCGCGCCCGUCGGAGGCCCGCGACGAGGAGGAGGAGCGCGCCGCGGCCGAGCGCGCCGACACGCCGUGCUCGUCCGCGUUCUACGAUGCCAACGGGUGCCUCCGCGGCCGGAGGCGGCGGUCCAAGCAGGACUUUGAGGACGACCCCGAAGAUGAUGACGAGGAUGAGGAGGAUGUGAGGGGCGAGGACCAUAGAAAGGAGGAGCAGGACGAGGAAGAGGAGGUUAGGGUUUCGAUCGGCCUCGACCCGACUCUGGAUCGGGAGGAAGAGGAGGACAAAUAUGAUAGAGCGGCAUUUGGUAAAGAAGAUGCUGCAGAACGUGUGUACAUGAGUGAAAUCAUGGAUGAGGGCAUUAAUAUGAGCAUCAAUACUGUAGUGCCUGACCUCCUUGAUGAUACCACUGAUGAGAUCUGCGGUUUAUCUAAGGAUCCUCGGGCAGAUCUUGAUGCAGCAUCUGCAAGGCUCAGAGAAGACAAUGGUUCAGUUAAAAUUGGCCUUCGUUCUCCAACUCAAACCAAGGAGUGUGCAACUGCUGGAAUGCAAGCAACGAGAGCUCAGGAUAUCGGUGUGAAACCUAUACUGAAGAGGAAGGAGGAGCAAGCCGAUUCAAAACCAAGGAAACGUGUGAGGUUUAAUGCCGAUGUUAAAGAACAACCAGUGGAGCUUCUUGAACAUGAUGAAGAUUCUCCCAUGGUUCCUCAGUCCAUGGAUGUGGUCACAACAAAGGGCAACUCGGGCAACUCCUCCACGCCAUCUGGGGUUCCUGACUAUGUUAGGAACCCUUCAAAGUACACAUGUUACACUCUGGAGACACCAGAGAGUACCGACGAAUCUAACAGGAGAGCUCUUGCAGACUUGCACAAUCUGUUAGGCAGAUCAGAUCCCAACAAGAUGCAGCCUGAGACACCUGCUGAGAUUCCUAGUUCAGUCACAUUCAUCCCUAGGAAGAAGUCAGUUGAUGCCAUGGUGGUGGAUGAGGGCCCCAGAUUUAGUAGUGCAAACCCAUCUCUCAUUAGUGCAGCAGCAGCAGUAGCCUCUGAUGGAACUGACCAAUGUGAGAUGGAUGAAGAUGACCCUAAAGCAUCACCACCACCACCACCACCACUGAUGCAGACCAACUCUAAGAUGAACUCCCGGCGUUACAGUUUCGUGACAAACAUAGUGUUUUACUGUGCAUUCAAGAAUCAACUUGGAGAGAAACAGAACAUCCAUGCAGUCCACAAUUAA
rnacentral:rRNA from 1 species